UAAAACACCACAUCAAUCAAUGCAAACUUCUGAAGCUCGUUGGAGGCUUUGGAGCUGUUUACGAGAAUUAGUAAAGACAACUCAGAAAUACUACUAACACAGGAGUGGGCAUUGGUGGAAAGCGUGAGGGCCAGGAAUGACAUACGGCUGUCUGAAAAAAGCAGACCAUUGAGGAGAACGAUGACACAUUUGCCAGUUUGGCAUCCAUCAGCCUUCCGACAAUCGCCACCCUUUUGAAGAGGCACCAGAUAUCUAUGAAACAUAUUUACCUGUUGCCUUUUGAGAGAAAACACCGACUAGGUGAAACAACUACGGGCCAAGUAUGUUCAGGUAUAUCUUUGUCGAUGAAGUGGGCUGCAACCUGGCCAAAACUAGGCUCUGUGGGUGGAAACUCAUCGACCGUCCAAGUGCCUGGACAACGUGGGGCAAAUAUCUCCGUGUGCGCAGCUAUCUCUGAAGAUGGUGUGGUAGGACGUAAGCCAUUACUUGGAUCCUACAACUCUGAACACCUCAUUGUGGUUCUCAAUGAAAUUGAGCAGGCCUGUCAAGGUGAAGGGGUCACCUAUGUCAUUGUGUGGGACAAAGUCAAGUUCAACCAUGCAGAGGUGGUUCAGGCAUGGUUUUGGGGCCAUCCCUGAUUCGUGACCCUAUACCUGCUCUUAUACACUCCUUUUUUCAGCAUGGAGGUGGAAUGUGUACGUUCACGAUCCUGUGACGUGCCACCCUCCUUCUGGCCAUGGAUGAGGCAUGUGACGACAUCAAUGUCAAGCUUGGAUUCGCCAUGCCUAAAGGUUUUUCCCGCGGCGCAUGAACAAUGAGGACAUUCACAGUGAUAUGGAUGAGAAUUUAUGGCAAAAUGCUCAAGACAGGCUUGACGCAAAUUAAUGAGCUCAUUUCAAUUUGUUUCAUUUAAUUUCUUACAUUUGAUUACAGACAGUACACAUUUUGUUUGUUGCAUGAAUGAUUGUAGAGGAUGUCUUCAUUAAUCACACCUUUGCUUACACAUUUGAUAUAUGUUAUAGAAAUGAUAGAUUUUGUCAAUUUUGUUGGGUAAUGUAAGUAAGUAUAUUGCCUAAUGUGAACUGUGUAAUGUAGUACUGUAGCAUAUUACUUCUAAGGGUGAUUUGAAACGUGUAUCUUGCAUUGUUUGCUAUUGGAUUAACUGGUUGUUAAACGACAAAAUUGACAAGAUCUAUCUUAAUUGUUGUGUUUUGGUGAUUAAAACGAUGUUCUCAUUACAUUUUACAAAUAACUUGAGAGAUGUUUUCAAUCUAAAUUGUAUUUUUUUACCAGGCAAGUCAGUUAAGAACAAAUUAUUAUUUUCAAUGACAGUGGGUUAACUGCCUUG